GGUCAAGCGAUUAAGCGCAUACGGUGGAUGCCUUGGCAGCCAGAGGCGAUGAAGGACGUGAUAGCCUGCGAUAAGCGUUGGCGAGGUGGCAAAUACCCUGCGACCCAACGAUUUCCGAAUGGGGAAACCCACUCACCAUCAGGUGAGUAUCUAUAGGCCAAUACAUAACCUAUAGAGGCAAACCCGGGGAACUGAAACAUCUAAGUACCCGGAGGAAAAGAAA
rfam:Cobetia sp. TCD-24C scaffold_29, whole genome shotgun sequence.